GGUUUGAUUGCUGGUAUAGCUGUAUUUCUUCAGCUGUCUGAGCAUGCUGGGAGUAGUAGUUUUGCAACAGUUGGAGGCCCCGUGGUUGGGAAACACUGGUCUAGGCUCUUAAUCAGCUAAUAGGGAUCUCCUACAGGCGGGGGUCAUCUGCUGGCGGAGCUCCUUCUCUAUUUGCAUUGGUGACUAGCGGAUCACGUGACUCGGCCCGGACUGGAAGUGGGCGCAUUUCCACUAUAGUGCCGGUGGAGAAGCGAGAAGUGGGCGCCAAUAGGAAUAUUCCGGAAAGGAUCUCAGCACCCUCCACAGAUGUGGAUACCCAAGGAGGUGGAAGGAUUAUUCUAAUCAUUAUAUACGUCUGCUUGGCCCUGGGGUGUUAGUGGUUGGGUCAGAGGAUAAUAUCCAUAGACCCUCCACAUACACCGGGUAGGUCACCCUUGUGAUACCAAAACAGCUCCCACCCAUUGUGCCAAGAAAACCUAUGAAAGUGUCCUGUGGUAUCUGGAGCCAAGACGUCAGCAGCAAAUCCUCUAGGUCCUAUAAGUUGUGGCUUCCAUGGAUUCCAUGGUUUUUCCAGCACAAACCACAGAUUGAUUGACUGGAUCUGGUAAAAUUGGAGCCCAAGUCAACAAUGUGAUCUCUUUGUCACGUUCCUCAUAGACUUUGGGGGGUAUUUAUGAAACGAUUAUGGAAAGUGUAAUGUCUUUUUACUCCAUUAAUUCAUGUGGUGGAAACUGUGUACCUGCUCCAAAUGUAUGACGUGGUGCAUGACAUGUUAUAAAUAUGGUUCUGAUGACAUUUUUACUUCAGUACUCCACUUUGUGUGUUGCCCCCCUCUGUGACUUUUGUUAAUGUUGUCCACAGUCAGUUUGUAAGCCAAGUCAAGACUGGUGUAGAUUUGCGCCUAAGCUUGCGCAGUUGCUCCUAACUUUGCGACAAAGUCGCACAUCAUAAAUUUCUGAGCACUGCAAAAACACAACUCAAAAACACAUUUAACACAGCAAAAAACAAAUACACACGUAAAUGAAAAGUCGCACAAAAAAAACGCAUUGCGACAAAAUAUUGCAACAAAUUUACCCAGGAAAACCAGAGUAAAAGGCUUCAUAAAUACCCCCCAUUUGUCUAUGCGAUGCUUAAGCAGGUGGUGAAGGUCACAGUAAUAUUCCCAUUCCUCAUGAAUCAUUUUUUCAGGACUCUCAGAUUAUAGACGAUUGCUCAUUGCGUGGUCUUUUUGUGGUGGUGGAUAUGGUGUUUGGCGUGUUCUCUGUUUCCUUUUUCUCCUUCCAGUUUAUCUUUAGUUUUCCUUC